GCGGCUUCUCCUCGACCCGGCGCUGAAAUGACCUUGAGCUCCUUCAUCAUCCCCUCUGAGCUCUCCUCCCCCCUCGCCUGUUAAAUGAAAGGCAUCACAGUACCGAGGUCAUUUUGAGGAUCUAACAAGACAGUGCGUAGAAAGUAUGCAGCACGUGCUUCUCAGUAAGUUCAGUUAAUGCAGAUGAUAUGAACAGCAGUAAUAACAGCAAUAGUAUCAUCAAGUGUGGAAACAGAUACUCAUCUUAAGGUUUCUUUGUGCCAGGGAUGGACGGAUAUAAAUUAAGAGAGAUGGCAUUUUUUGCCACUGGCUUUUCCAGGCAGGGGAGCAGAGAGGGGCAGGAUGUAGGAGAUGCUCCAGGGUCUUUGCAAUUUUCCAUCAACUGCUUGAACCUGAAAGGUUCCUAGAGGUCAUAAGGUUUAAGCCCCUGGAGAGGCUGAGGACAAGAGAAGAGAAGGGACUUGCCCCAGGUCACUCAGUGGCAGACCGGCAAAGACAGACGUCCUUCCCUUCCCUGAAUUAAUGACCGAGGUCUAGUUCUUCUAACAUAACGGCAGCCUAUGCCCCCGGCAAAAGUGAGUGGCUGGCUGGCCCUGCCUCCAGGCUGACCUGGGCCCAGAGCUAAGCUGAUGGAGACCAGAAAUAGCACUGUCAACACCUCCUGCCUGCCCAGCUCAUCUAUCCACAGUCAGGUGUUCUGGACCUCAUCCCAGCGAGAGAUGCUGAGUACCGAAGUAAAUGGUGUCUCUUGCCCCUCACCUCUCAGGACAUCAGGAUCUUGGAACCUCACAAGAUGGAAGGGGAGACUUUGACCCUAACCAAACAGUCACAUACAUGAUUGUAAAGUUGCAUCUGGGCUAAAAGCCUUGAAGGAUGGUACAUGAGACCUAUAAACAUUUUGAAGUUGUUUGAGUUGAGCUUGUUUUUCUUGCUUACAGUCAAACAUCCUGUCUGGCCACAUCACCCAUGGAGAUGCUGGUUGGAACAGAGCCUGCUUCCUCAGCUCUUUGCUACCCUCCUCAAUGCUCCAGUUCCCCUGAUUGCACUCUCAGCC
rnacentral:lncRNA from 12 species